rnacentral:rRNA from 1 species
UACGAAGGGGGCUAGCGUUGCUCGGAAUCACUGGGCGUAAAGGGUGCGUAGGCGGCCCUUUAAGUCAGGGGUGAAAUCCUGGAGCUCAACUCCAGAACUGCCUUUGAUACUGAAGAUCUUGAGUGCGGGAGAGGUGAGUGGAACUGCGAGUGUAGAGGUGAAAUUCGUAGAUAUUCGCAAGAACACCAGUGGCGAAGGCGGCUCACUGGCCCGAUACUGACGCUGAGGCACGAAAGCGUGGGGAGCAAACAGG